rnacentral:sRNA from 1 species
GAGCUGUACGUGAAGCCGGGUGAGCGCAGCCGGCGGGCUAGGGCACUAGGUCGUCGCCCCGGCCUAGGCUGGGGGCGGUUGCGGCGUGGAGUAUGGACCCUCUGUCUCCCCCAGCCCCAGUAUAAGCUAACAGUGGAGUUCCGGGCUCGCUUCACACAUCCCUCGCCUCCGCAGGCAACAAGGAGCGCGGCUGGAACGACCCGCCGCAGUUCUCAUACGGGCUGCAGACCCAGGCCGGCGGACCCAGGCGCUCGCUGCUUACCAAGAGGGUCGCCGCACCCCAGGAUGGAUCCCCCAGAGAAGCAGGUAUGUGAUGACAUCAGCCGACGCCUGGCACUGCUGCAGGAACAGUGGGCUGGAGGAAAGUUGUCAAUACCUGUAAAGAAGAGAAUGGCUCUACUGGUGCAAGAGCUUUCAAGCCACCGGUGGGACGCAGCAGAUGACAUCCAUCGCUCCCUCAUGGUUGACCAUGUGACUGAGGUCAGUCAGUGGAUGGUAGGAGUUAAAAGAUUAAUUGCAGAAAAGAGGAGUCUGUUUUCAGAGGAGGCAGCCAAUGAAGAGAAAUCUGCAGCCACAGCUGAGAAGAACCAUACCAUACCAGGCUUCCAGCAGGCUCCAUAAUCCUCGGUUCCCCAGACUCACCGGACACCAUCUCCUAUGCCUUGGAGACCUUCUCUCACUUGGCUCCCUUCUUACCACCACCAAGACUGUCCCACUGGGCCUGACCCACCUAUGAGGGAAGAAGUCCCACCUGGGCCAGAGGGAGUUC